CACCCCGCCUCUCUCUGGCCAACUCUGCUCUGUAGAACACGUGUUUCCCGUGUUGCGACAUGUUUGGUCCCGUUUGGUUCUUAGGGUUGGACGUCAAGGACGUCACGGACGUCACUCUGUCUGCCGCAACGGGUUGGGCAAGACAAGUACAGUGUUGAUGAGCAAACGUUGCAAGAAAUCUGGUUAAAACCCUAUUGGUAACAUGAUUUCAGAGAUGCCACAUCAGGCAACAUCAGUGUUAAUGAGACUUCAUUUCUCCCAAUCAGGUUAACACAAUAUUGGAAGCAUGAAUUCGGAGAUUUCGCAUCUGGUAAUGCACAUUGGAGUACAAUGAUUUACAAAUUCACAUAAUUGAAAUAAGGCCUGAACAAUACAGUGAUGGGAAUGGACUUCUUGAGAUGUGCCCAGAACUCUUGGCAGUGUAUCAUAUGCUUUGUGUAACAGUGUUUUGUGUAUUGCAUAGGAGUGCUGGUUCUAAGCAGUCGUACUAUUGGGUGCUGUGUGUUAUUUCUUUGGGUCUGGAAGGAACAUCAUGAUGCUAAUGGAUCAUCGGGUGGUAAAUUUAUAACAGCAUAUUCAUUGAAACAUUUAUGUCAAGAGUUCCAAACCCAGCUCCUGACCUACAUGAAUAACUGUGCAAAUGAGUAUUAUGCUGUGUGGAGAUUGAUGAUAUUUUAAAUAUAAUAGUGACACUGUA